rnacentral:rRNA from 1 species
AACGCGAAGAACCUUACCAGGUCUUGACAUCCCCCUGAAUAGUUUAGAGAUAAGCUAGGCCUUCGGGACAGGGGAGACAGGUGGUGCAUGGUUGUCGUCAGCUCGUGUCGUGAGAUGUUGGGUUAAGUCCCGCAACGAGCGCAACCCUUGAUGUUAGUUGCCAGCAGGUCAGGCUGGGCACUCUAACGUGACUGCCGGUGACAAACCGGAGGAAGGUGGGGAUGACGUCAAAUCAUCAUGCCCCUUAUGACCUGGGCUACACACGUACUACAAUGGCCGGUACAACGGGGUGCGAAGGAGCGAUCCGGAGCGAAUCCUUAGAAGCCGGUCUCAGUUCGGAUUGCAGGCUGCAACUCGCCUGCAUGAAGUCGGAAUUGCUAGUAAUCGCGGAUCAGCAUGCCGCGGUGAAUACGUUCCCGGGCCUUGUACCACCGUGUCGA